rnacentral:rRNA from 1 species
UACGUAGGAUGCAAGCGUUGUCCGGAUUCAUUGGGCGUAAAGGGUGCGUAGGCGGCGGGGCAAGUCUGAUGUGAAAUCCCGGGGCUCAACCCCGGAACUGCAUUGGAUACUGCCUUGCUUGAGUACUGGAGAGGGAACUGGAAUUUACGGUGUAGCAGUGAAAUGCGUAGAGAUCGUAAGGAAGGCCAGUGGCGAAGGCGAGUUCCUGGACAGUUACUGACGCUGAGGCACGAAGGCCAGGGGAGCAAACGGG